CAGUUAGAUUCAAACACCCGAAUUGAACUCAUUAAGUGUACGCAUUAGUUUAUAGUGUGAACAGUCAGUUUUCUACCCAUAUCGCUGUCAUCAAUUCUGUUCACAGCUACCGACGUAGACUCUUCUGCCCAGCUCUCUUGGAAAAUAUUUAUUUCCUGAGAUCCUGAGACGGAAAAACGGGCAGGCGGACGGACAGACGGUUGUGGCCAGAUCGAUUGUGCAAUUGAUCCUGAUCAAGAAUAUAUAUACAUAUGUACGUAUAUAGUCGGAAACGGUUCAUUUUACCUAUUACACACUUUUCAAGGAAUCUAGUAUACCCUACUCCAAGAGUAACGGGUGUAAUCAGCGGCUACGCCAGCCGAGCCCACUAAUUACUGCUACUCACCUUCUCUAUCGCGUACGAUCUCUCUCCUAAAAAUCGAGCGCAAAGUCAACGAAAGAAAGUUAAAAUUAGUGGUGCGCAACGGAACAAAACAAACGGAACGGAACAAAUUAGGCAAAAGGGACAGGGACAGGGACGAGAGAAAGGGAACUAACAAUAAGAAAUUUAAAUGGAUUAACGGAUUUAUUUUCUAAAGGUUUUGUGAGAACCAGCGGCUUAUUUUAUGUAGUGUAAUUGAUUCAUUGUAUAAACAACAACAAAUACUGCUCACAUAAGUAAUCCUUUUAGGUAAUUGAAAAGGUCCCAUACUCAACUGAGAAUAAGCUGGCC